GCAGCCGCCGCGGUAAUACAGAGGGUGCGAGCGUUAAUCGGAUUUACUGGGCGUAAAGCGUGCGUAGGCGGCUUUUUAAGUCGGAUGUGAAAUCCCUGAGCUUAACUUAGGAAUUGCAUUCGAUACUGGGAAGCUAGAGUAUGGGAGAGGAUGGUAGAAUUCCAGGUGUAGCGGUGAAAUGCGUAGAGAUCUGGAGGAAUACCGAUGGCGAAGGCAGCCAUCUGGCCUAAUACUGACGCUGAGGUACGAAAGCAUGGGGAGCAAACAGGAUUAGAUACCCCAGUAGUCCCUGUCUCUUAUAA
rnacentral:rRNA from 1 species